UGGGGAAUUUUGGACAAUGGGCGCAAGCCUGAUCCAGCCAUGCCGCGUGUCUGAAGAAGGCCUUCGGGUUGUAAAGGACUUUUGUCAGGGAAGAAAAGGACAGGGUUAAUACCUCUGUUUGAUGACGGUACCUGAAGAAUAAGCACCGGCUAACUACGUGCCAGCAGCCGCGGUAAUACGUAGGGUGCGAGCGUUAAUCGGAAUUACUGGGCGUAAAGCGAGCGCAGACGGUUACUUAAGCAGGAUGUGAAAUCCCCGGGCUCAACCUGGGAACUGCGUUCUGAACUGGGUGACUAGAGUGUGUCAGAGGGAGGUAGAAUUCCACGUGUAGCAGUGAAAUGCGUAGAGAUGUGGAGGAAUACCGAUGGCGAAGGCAGCCUCCUGGGAUAACACUGACGUUCAUGCUCGAAAGCGUGGGUAGCAAACAGGAUUAGAUACCCUGGUAGUCCACGCCCUAAACGAUGUCAAUUAGCUGUUGGGCAACUUGAUUGCUUAGUAGCGUAGCCGCGUGAAAUUGACCGCCUGGGGAGUACGGUCGCAAGAUUA
rnacentral:rRNA from 1 species